UACAGAGGGGGCAAGCGUUGUUCGGAAUUACUGGGCGUAAAGGGCGCGUAGGCGGCCUUCUAAGUCGAACGUGAAAUCCCUGGGCUCAACCCAGGAACUGCGUCCGAUACUGGAAGGCUUGAAUCCGGGAGAGGGAUGCGGAAUUCCAGGUGUAGCGGUGAAAUGCGCAGAUAUCAGGAGGAACACCGGUGGCGAAGGCGGUUCUCUGGGCCUUACCUGACACUGAGGAGCGAAAGCGUGGGGAGCGAACAGG
rnacentral:rRNA from 1 species